GAUGAACGCUAGCGGCAGGCCUAACACAUGCAAGUCGAGGGAGAAGCCCUUUCGGGGGCAGAAACCGGCGCACGGGUGCGUAACGCGUAUGCAACCUACCUUUCACAGGGGGAUAGCCCGAAGAAAUUUGGAAUAAUACCCCAUAAUAUUAUGGGAUGGCAUCAUUUGAUAAUUAAAACUGCGGUGGUGAAAGAUGGGCAUGCGUCCCAUUAGCUAGGUGGGGUGGUAACGGCACCCCAAGGCUACGAUAGGUGGGGGUCCUGAGAGGGAGAGCCCCCACACUGGUACUGAGACCGGGACCAGUCUCCUACGGGCGGCAGCAGUGCGGAAUAUUGGUCACUGGUCGGUAGACUGAACCAGCCAUGCCGCGUGCAGGAAGACUGCCUUAUGGGUUGUAAACUGCUUUUAUAUGGGAAGAAUAAGGCGUACGUGUACGUUGAUGACGGUACCAGAUGAAUAAGCAUCGGCUAACUCCGUG
rnacentral:rRNA from 1 species